rnacentral:rRNA from 1 species
GCCGGCAGCUAGCUCUCUGCAACUCUAAGCAGGGUUGCGCCCAGUCAGUACCUGGAUGGAAGGCCACUUGGGAAAGCUAGAUUGCUGCUGAAA